ensembl:misc_RNA Metazoa_SRP Metazoan signal recognition particle RNA
GCUGGGUGUGGUGGCGCAUGCCUGUAGUCCCAGCUACUCAGGAACCUGAGGUAGGAGGAUCGCUUGAGCCCAGGAGGUCAAGGCUGCAGUGAACUAGGAUCACGCCACUGCACCCCAGCCUGAACGACAGAGUGAGACCCUGUCUCUA